rnacentral:rRNA from 1 species
GAAGAUUGGACAAUGGGGGGAACCCUGAUCCAGCCAUGCCGCGUGUGUGAAGAAGGCCUCUUGGUUGUAAAGCACUUUAAGCGAGGAGGAGGCUACUUCGAUUAAUACUCUUGGCUCGUGGCCGUUACUCGCAGACUAAGCACCGGCUAACUCUGUGCCCGCAGCCGCGGUAAUAACAAGGGUGCAAGCGUUCAUCGGAUUUACCGUGCGGAAAGCGCGCGUAGGUGGCCAAUUAAGUCAACUGUGAAAUCCCCGAUCUUAACUUGGGAAUUGCAUUCGAUACUGGUUGGCUAGAGUAUGGUAGAGGAUGGUAGAAUUCCAGGUGUAGCGGUGAAAUGCGUAGAGAUCUGGAGGAAUACCGAUGGCGAAGGCAGCCAUCUGGCCUAAUACUGACACUGAGGUGCGAAAGCAUGGGGAGCAAACA